UCUUCUCUCUGUUUUAGCAUGUACAGUCCAUGGAGCAAAGCUAGGGUUUCCGCUUGCAAAGAUGAAGAGGCGUGUACUUCUGUAGCGAACCCAUCGACAAUGAUUCCGUUGGAGUCCCGUAGUGUACCUGCAAUCGAGUUGGGCGCGUCUCCUUCCACCCACGAGUAGUCCACGUUUAGCUUCAGAUCUGGGUCUUCUAGAGCUGUCCAUUUCACCGGUAAGUUCACCAUUUCUAUUGUCUCUUUUCUCCUUCUUGGGUUCCACCACUGAUAAGUAUGAUUUUGUGCGAGGGAUGUUUCAAUUAUCACCUCUGUUGAGGAUUUCCUACCCCGAAAGACUUGGUUAUUCUUGUUUUUCCAGACUUGCCACAGUACCUCCGCAACUAAUUCUUCAACAGAAAAAGAAUAGAUGCUCGACUGUUUCAAGGUAUUUUGAACAGAGAGGGCAGAGCGGGUCAGGAUAUAAGGAGAGAAGAAGCGGGCUAUGAUCCGAUCCAACUGCUGGUAAAGCCAAAACUUCAGCAUUUGGAAAGGUCCAGCAACAGACUCUGCUCCUUUACAUCCCACAAUCUCCAUAUUCGACUGCAUGGGAGUUUCUGGGUACUUCUUCACAAUUGGAGGCAUGGUGCCCUAGUUUUCCACAAGAGUAGCAAAAGUUAGGGAGGCGCUCAUAUUUAAACUCGACCCACAAAUUUUUUUCACCCAUCAUCACUAGAGCCCUUGUUUUUAGAGGAGCUGACAGCCACAUCAGUGUAUACUUCUUCCAAAAUCCAUCCAGGGAGCAAGCCAACAAUAUGAAUCCAGAAAUCGUAGUGCGAGAAGUCAUAGCAGUGUUUGGGAAUGUCAGAAUCAGAACAUGGGAACUUCGUACCUGAUUUGGGGGUAUUUCUAAAUUCUGAUUGAAGGGAGCUCCAUCUAACAAAUGAAGAGUAACUUAGCCACUUUGAGGAGUAAGGCAGUCCGGUCUUCCAUUCAAAAACAAAGAUCGAGGGCUCAGAAGGAUGAGAUGAAAUGGAGUGUCAAGUGGCGAAUCAAUUAGAGGGGGUCUCAUUUUUAGGUUUUGGAUGAAGGGUUUUUGGUUUUGUGGGUUGUGGUUUUUUAUUUUCCUUGGGUAUUAUGGGAUGGGUUCACCAUUGUAGGAGGAAUGAAAGCUGGGUUUAGGGUUUAGAAGGUCGAUCACCCUUUGGGGAUAGGGUAAAGCUCCAUCUUCAGGAGAGAUUCCUCUACCGGUGUAGAGAGAUUUCCGCAAGAAAGAUGACAAGAUUCUAGGGUGGUGUGGUUGAUGGUUGCCUUUCCGUCUCUGAAUACGUUUUUGGGGACACUCUCUGGCUGCUAGUUACCCCCAUCUCUAUGUAUUUGCCGUUGUUUGGCCGGUUUUGUUUUGGUUCUUUUAUAGCUGUUAGUUAGGCUUCAUUGCCUUGUUGGCCUUGUGUUUCGACAGUUUGUAGUUUUUUCUUAGCACCCUUCCACUUUUGCGGACUAGGUUGUCUUAUGAGUGUAAGUUUUUGGUA